rnacentral:rRNA from 1 species
GAUGAACGCUGGCGGCGUGCCUAAUACAUGCAAGUCGAGCGAACAGACGAGGAGCUUGCUCCUCUGACGUUAGCGGCGGACGGGUGAGUAACACGUGGAUAACCUACCUAUAAGACUGGGAUAACUUCGGGAAACCGGAGCUAAUACCGGAUAAUAUAUUGAACCGCAUGGUUCAAUAGUGAAAGACGGUUUUGCUGUCACUUAUAGAUGGAUCCGCGCUGCAUUAGCUAGUUGGUAAGGUAACGGCUUACCAAGGCAACGAUGCGUAGCCGACCUGAGAGGGUGAUCGGCCACACUGGAACUGAGACACGGUCCAGACUCCUACGGGAGGCAGCAGUAGGGAAUCUUCCGCAAUGGGGCGAAAGCCUGACGGAGCAACGCCGCGUGAGUGAUGAAGGUCUUCGGAUCGUAAAACUCUGUUAUUAGGGAAGAACAAAUGUGUAAGUAACUAUGCACGUCUUGACGGUACCUAAUCAGAAAGCCACGGCUAACUACGUG